CCCUGGCCAAGAUGGGCAGGAGAUUCCCUGCUCCCUAGGGCCAUUUUCUGCUUCCAUGUCCUAUUCAGCUGGCAGGCAUUGCCCCAAGCCCAGAAGCUGCUGAGGGACCUACUUAUUUUCCUUUCAGCCCCAGGGCUCAUCAGGAAGCACCAAAUCCAUGUCACAAGAGGUUCUUCAGCAGGAAGCCCUUUCUGAAGACUUGCACAUCUUUUCCUGAUGCAUGGAGUCAAAUAUCUGCACUUGUCUGGAAACAGUUUGUCAUAUGAAAAAUAUGAAAAUACUUCUCCUCCUUCUGGGUGGAAUGCAGGAGGUAACUGUCUCCCUGGAAUGGGAAAAAUCAAUGAAAGCUAAUAAUAUCUUACUGUAUCAUCCCUGAAGCCCACUAUGCUAGCUUGCAGGAGACCAGAGGUGACAAUGUCUCCCAGCCCUUGGGAGGAGCCCACCCAUCCCAUUUGUGCCAUCCAUGGAAAAUCUGCAGGCAGAGACAGCUUGCAGUUUUCUUUUAUGGCUAUCACUGUUCAGAUGGGGUUUCCCUGCAAGUCCUGUUGAGCUUGAUUAGACUGGAGUAGAAGACUGGAGUAGAAGAAAUCAACUUCCCCAGCAAUCUGAAAACAGCAAGGAAUGUAAAAGAAUCCUCAGCUCUGCCCAGCUAUUUAAGGAGCAUUGAAAGACUUCAGAAAUAUUUCUGAGGCUUUUUCUCGCACUUUUUGG